rnacentral:lncRNA from 1 species
AUGGCGCCCGCGAAAAAGCUUGUGGUGAAAGGGGGCAAAAAAGAAGCAGGUUCUGAAGUUCACUCUUGAUUGCAUCCACCCCAUAGAAGAUGGAAUCAUGGAUGCCGCCAUUCUACCAAUUUUGAGCAGUUUUUGCAAGAGAGGAUCAAAGUGAACAGAAAAGCUGUGAAUCUUGGAGGAGUGGUGACCAUCGAAAGGAGCAAGAGCAAGCUCACCGUAACACCGGAAGUGCCUUUUUCCAGAAGGUAUUUGAAAUAUCUCACCAAAAAAUAUUUGAAGAACAAUAAUCUAUGUGAUUGGUUGUGCAUAGUUGCUAACAGUAAAGAGAGUUAUGAAUUACGUUAUUUCCAAAUUAACCAGGACAAAGAAGAAGAGAAAGAUGAGGAUUA